UCCCCGUUACCGGGGCAGUCUGAAUAGAAAAAUCCAACUAUUCAUAAGGGUUGCGCUCGUUGAUGGACUUAACCAAACAUCUCACGACACGAGCUGACGACGGCCAUGCAUCACCUGUCACUUGGCUCCCAAGGGCACUCACUGCUUUCGCAGUAAUUCCAAGGAUGUCAAGCCCUGGUAAGGUUCUUCGCUUAUCAUCGAAUUAAAGAACAUCCUCCACCGCUUGUGCGGGUCCCCGUCAAUUCCUUUAUGUUUUAGCCUUGCGGCCGUACUCCACAGGCGGGAUACUUAACGCGUUAGCUUCGCUACGGAGGGGGUCGAUACCCCCCACAGCUAGUAUCCAUCGUUUACGGCGUGGACUAC
rnacentral:misc_RNA from 1 species